AGCCUUUCGGGGUACACGAGCGGCGAACGGGUGAGUAACACGUGGGUGAUCUGCCCUGCACUUCGGGAUAAGCCUGGGAAACUGCGUCUAAUACCGGAUAUGACCUCCUGUCGCAUGAUGGGUGGUGGAAAGAUUUAUCGGUGCAGGAUGGGCCCGCGGCCUAUCAGCUUGUUGGUGGGGUAAUGGCCUACCAAGGCGACGACGGGUAGCCGACCUGAGAGGGUGACCGGCCACACUGGGACUGAGACACGGCCCAGACUCCUACGGGAGGCAGCAGUGGGGAAUAUUGCACAAUGGGCGAAAGCCUGAUGCAGCGACGCCGCGUGAGGGAUGACGGCCUUCGGGUUGUAAACCUCUUUCAGCAGGGACGAAGCGCAAGUGACGGUACCUGCAGAAGAAGCACCGGCUAACUACGUGCCAGCAGCCGCGGUAAUACGUAGGGUGCAAGCGUUGUCCGGAAUUACUGGGCGUAAAGAGUUCGUAGGCGGUUUGUCGCGUCGUUUGUGAAAACCAGCAGCUCAACUGCUGGCUUGCAGGCGAUACGGGCAGACUUUAGUACUGCAGGGGAGACUGGGAAUCCUGGGUGUACCGGUGAAAUGCGCAGAUAUCAGGAGGAACACCGGUGGCGAAGGCGGGUCUCUGGGCAGUAACUGACGCUGAAGAACGAAAGCGUGGGUAGCGAACAGGAUUAGAUACCCUG
rnacentral:rRNA from 1 species